CGAGAGGUUGGCGCGGGCGAGUGCUUCGCCAACCUGGUCAGGACCGGAAGGUAGCAGCCACAACGAAUACCGCUUGGGUCGUUGUCAACCUCUCACCC
rnacentral:SRP_RNA from 3 species